rnacentral:tRNA from 1 species
GGCCGGAUAGCUCAGUCAGUUAGAGCAUGGUGCUGAUAACACCAAGGUCACGGGUUCGAUCCUCGUUUGGUCCC